GACGAACGUUGGCGGCGUGCUUAAUACAUGCAAGUCCACUGAAGCAGUGGUAGCAAUAUCGCUGUGGAGGUGGCGCACGGGUGAGUAACACGUAGGUAAUCUGCCUUCAGGUCUGGCAUAACUCCGGGAAACCGGGGCUAAUAGCAGAUGAUGCAGCGGCUCGACAUCGAGACAGUUGUUAAAGCUAUGGCGCCUGAAGAUGAGCCUGCGUCUGAUUAGCUAGUUGGCGGGGUAACGGCCCACCAAGGCAACGAUCAGUAGCUGGUCUGAGAGGAUGAUCAGCCACACUGGAACUGAGACACGGUCCAGACUCCUACGGGAGGCAGCAGUAAGGAGUAUUGCUCAAUGGGAGAAAUCCUGAAGCAGCAACGCCGCGUGAGGGACGAAGGGCGUUUGCUUGUAAACCUCUGUAGUGAGAGAAAAAAAUCCCAAUCUUUGGGACAUGAUGGUAUCUCAAAAGUAAGCCCCGGCUAACUACGUG
rnacentral:rRNA from 1 species